rnacentral:misc_RNA from 1 species
AACGCACAUUGCGCCCUGCGGUACUCCGCGGGGCAUGCCUGUUCGAGCGUCAUAUCAACCCUCAAGCUAGGCUUGGUGUUGGGGAGACCACGUCGUCGUGGGCCCCGAAAUGCAGUGGCGGUCCUGACCGUGGCCCGAGCGUAGUAGAAUGCCUCGCCGGGAACCGCGAGCGGGCGCCUGCCGUAAAAGCAGCUAACCCACCCGGGUGCGCACAUCUUACAAGGUUGACCUCGAAUCAGGUAGGAAUACCCGCUGAACUUAA